AUGAGCGUCCUAUAAUGCAAGUCGAGCGGACAGAUGGGAGCUUGCUCCCUGAUGUUAGCGGCGGACGGGUGAGUAACACGUGGGUAACCUGCCUGUAAGACUGGGAUAACUCCGGGAAACCGGGGCUAAUACCGGAUGGUUGUCUGAACCGCAUGGUUCAGACAUAAAAGGUGGCUUCGGCUACCACUUACAGAUGGACCCGCGGCGCAUUAGCUAGUUGGUGAGGUAACGGCUCACCAAGGCGACGAUGCGUAGCCGACCUGAGAGGGUGAUCGGCCACACUGGGACUGAGACACGGCCCAGACUCCUACGGGAGGCAGCAGUAGGGAAUCUUCCGCAAUGGACGAAAGUCUGACGGAGCAACGCCGCGUGAGUGAUGAAGGUUUUCGGAUCGUAAAGCUCUGUUGUUAGGGAAGAACAAGUGCCGUUCAAAUAGGGCGGCACCUUGACGGUACCUAACCAGAAAGCCACGGCUAACUACGUGCCAGCAGCCGCGGUAAUACGUAGGUGGCAAGCGUUGUCCGGAAUUAUUGGGCGUAAAGGGCUCGCAGGCGGUUUCUUAAGUCUGAUGUGAAAGCCCCCGGCUCAACCGGGGAGGGUCAUUGGAAACUGGGGAACUUGAGUGCAGAAGAGGAGAGUGGAAUUCCACGUGUAGCGGUGAAAUGCGUAGAGAUGUGGAGGAACACCAGUGGCGAAGGCGACUCUCUGGUCUGUAACUGACGCUGAAGAGCGAAAGCGUGGGGAGCGAACAGGAUUAGAUACCCUGGUAGUCCACGCCGUAAACGAUGAGUGCUAAGUGUUAGGGGGUUUCCGCCCCUUAGUGCUGCAGCUAACGCAUUAAGCACUCCGCCUGGGGAGUACGGUCGCAAGACUGAAACUCAAAGGAAUUGACGGGGGCCCGCACAAGCGGUGGAGCAUGUGGUUUAAUCCGAAGCACCCCGAAGAACGUUACCAGGUCUUGACAUCCUCUGACAUCCUAAAAAUAGGACGUCCCCUCCGGGGGCAAAUGACAGGGGGGCAUGGUUGUCCUCACCUCCUGUCCUGAAAUGUGGGUUAAAUCCCC
rnacentral:rRNA from 1 species